AGAGUUUGAUCCUGGCUCAGGACGAACGCUGGCGGCGUGCCUAACACAUGCAAGUCGAGCGGGGAUAUAGGAAGAGUAAUUUGACUAUAUUCUAGCGGCGGACGGGUGAGUAACGCGUGAGCAACCUGUCCUUGUCUGGGGGAUAAGAAGCCGAAAGGCUUUUUAAUACCGUAUGAGACCAUAGUAUUAUAUGGUGUAGGGGUUAAAGGAGUAAUUCGGACAGGGGUGGGCUUGCGUCUGAUUAGCUAGUUGGUGAGGUAAUGGCUCACCAAGGUAGCGAUCAGUAGUUGACCUGAGAGGGUGAUCGGCCACACUGGAACUGAGAUACGGUCCAGACUCCUACGGGAGGCAGCAGUGGGAAUAUUGGGCAAUGGGCGAAAGCCUGACCCAGCAACGCCGCGUGAAGGAAGAAGGCUUUCGGGUCGUAAACUUCUAUCCCAGGUGAAGAUAAUGAUGGUAGCCUGGAAGGAAGCCCCGGCUAACUACGUGCCAGCAGUUGCGGUAAUAUGUAGGGGGCAAGCGUUGUCCGGAAUGAUUGGGCGUAAAGGGCGCGUAGGCGGCCUUUUAAGUCCGAUGUGAAAGUUUGGUUUUAAGGUGGGAAUUGCAUUGGAAACUGGAAGGCUUGAGUGCAGGAGAGGUAAGUGGAAUUUUUGGUGUAGUGGUGAAAUGUGUAGAGAUUGGGAGGAAUAUUAGUGGUGAAGGUGACUUACUGGACUGUAAUUGACGCUGAGGCGCGAAAGUGUGGGGAGUAAAUAGGAUUAGAUAUCCUGGUAGUCCACACUGUAAACGAUGAGUGCUAGGUGUAGGAGGUAUUGAUUCCUUCUGUGCCGGAGUAAAUAUAAUAAGCACUCCGCCUGGGGAGUACGGCCGCAAGGUUGAAACUCAAAGGAAUUGACGGGGGCCCGCACAAGCAGCGGAGCAUGUUGUUUAAUUCGAAGCAAUGUGAAGAAUUUUACCAGGUCUUGACAUCCAGUAAAAGCAUCAGAGAUGAUGUGUGAGCUUGCUCAUACUGAGACAGGUGGUGCAUGGUUGUCGUCAGCUCGUGUUGUGAGAUGUUGGGUUAAGUCUCGCAACGAGCGCAACCCUUGUGAUUAGUUACUAACGUGUAAUGGUGAGGACUCUAAUAAGAUUGUUGGGGACAACUCGGAGGAAGGUGGGGACGACGUCAAAUCAUCAUGCCCCUUAUGACCUGGGCUACAAACGUGCUACAAUGGCCACUACAGAGAGUUGCGAACUCGCAAGAGCAAGCGAAUCUCACAAAAGUGGUCCCAGUUCGGAUUGUGGGCUGCAACCCGCCCACAUGAAGCCGGAGUUGCUAGUAAUCGCGGAUCAGUAUGCCGCGGUGAAUACGUUCCCGGGCCUUGUACACACCGCCCGUCACACCAUGGGAGUUGAUAGCGCCCGAAGUUGGUGAGGCAAUUAGUAAUGGAGUUAGCCGCCGAAGGUGAGAUCAAUGACUGGGGUGAAGUCGUAACAAGGUA
rnacentral:rRNA from 1 species